rnacentral:rRNA from 1 species
UACGGGGGGGGCAAGCGUUGUUCGGAUUUACUGGGCGUAAAGGGCUCGUAGGUGGCCAACUAAGUCAGACGUGAAAUCCCUCAGCUUAACUGGGGAACUGCGUCUGAUACUGGAUGGCUUGAGUUUGGGAGAGGGAUGCGGAAUUCCAGGUGUAGCGGUGAAAUGCGCAGAUAUCAGGAGGAACACCGGUGGCGAAGGCGGUUCUCUGGGCAUGACCUGACGCUGAGGAGCGAAAGUGUGGGGAGCGAACAGG